rnacentral:rRNA from 1 species
GGUGAACGCUGGCGGCGUGCCUAAUACAUGCAAGUCGAGCGAACGGACAAGAAGCUUGUUUCUCUGAUGUUAGCGGCGGGCGGGUGGGUGACGCGUGGAUAACCUUCUUAUAAUUCGGGGAUGACUUCGUGAAAACGGAUCUGAUAACGGAUAAUAUUUUGAACCGCAUGGUUCAAAAGUAAAAGACGGUCUGCCUGUCACUUCUAGAUGAAUCCGCGCUGCAUUAGCUAGUUGGUAAGGUAACGGCUUACCAAGGCGACGAUGCGUAGCCGACCUGAGAGGGUGAUCGGCCACACUGGAACUGAGACACGGUCCAGACUCCUACGGGAGGCAGCAGUAGGGAAUAUUCCGCAAUGGGCGAAAGCCUGACGGAGCAACGCCGCGUGAGUGAUGAAGGUCUUCGGAUCGUAAAACUCUGUUAUUAGGGAAGAACAUAUGUGGAAGUAACUGUGCACAUCUUGACGGUACCUAAUCAGAAAGCCACGGCUAACUACGUG